UACGAAGGGGGCUAGCGUUGUUCGGAAUUACUGGGCGUAAAGGGCGCGUAGGCGGUGUGUCAAGUCAGGCGUGAAAGCCCCGGGCUCAACCUGGGAACAGCGCUUGAGACUGGCACGCUCGAGUUCGGGAGAGGAUGGUGGAAUUCCCAGUGUAGAGGUGAAAUUCGUAGAUAUGGGGAGGAACACCGGUGGCGAAGGCGGCCAUCUGGACGGUAACUGACGCUGAGACGCGAAAGCGUGGGUAGCAAACAGG
rnacentral:rRNA from 1 species